CCAGGCGGACGAACAACCUAGCCGUACACUGCAGACAGGACCAGAGGCCUAUAGAGGAACAAAAAUAAUCAAGCGACUGUAUGUAAAACAAUAAGCAGAUGGUACGCCACUGGGAGAGACUGUAUUUGAUACAUAUAACAAUUGAGCAUAUUUUUGGAACACCAACUGGACCAUGAAACAAACAUAUAUAGCAAGCCAAGAAAAGGAGGAAUCAUGAUGCCACAAUGAAAAGAGUAAGUCCAAUGGACACAACUACAGAAGUACAUGUCAUAGGACAAGAUGCAAAAUCUAUAUAUCAAUUAGAUAUAGAAACAAAAACAGGAAAGAGUAAUCAUAAUGAUCUGAGUAUGUUGUAGAUUUCCUACUGAAAUUAUAAUUUAAUAAAUUUAAUGUCAAGAGAAAUGCAAUGAGGAAAGGGCCUGUAACAUGGAGUUGGUCCAACCCAGCCUCUCUAAUUCAUGAAACAGUAAGUUAAUUGUCACAGUCUUCUAGUUAUUAAUGGUCCUGCGUCACUAAUCUCAACCAACGCCAAAAGUUUGUGAUCCCAUGAAUGUACUAAGCGAUUUCCAUCAAGCCUGGACCAGCUCUCUUAGAUACCCCUGCCAAAAAUAGGAAAAUGGAACUUUGAAUACUCUCAGCUUACACAAAAUAAAAAACUAUGCAGGACAUGAUAGACACUUAAAAUUGCAAAGUUCAUUCGAUGUCAUAAAGCAAAAGACUAAGAACCAUUAUGUACCAACCUGGACGUUGCCUCUUACUCCCUUAGAUAUCAUGGUUCAACAAAUAAACCUCUUACUCCCUAGAAAUAGUAAAUCCCGCCUUCAUCAAUUACAGGGAGGAGCUUCCAACUGGAUUUGAAGUACCAUUUGUAUUAUACCCUCCCUAUACCAGUAUAAAAAACAACAAUCU
rnacentral:lncRNA from 1 species